rnacentral:misc_RNA from 1 species
GUGGAAAGAACUAUCAAAGAGGUCCUGCCCGCUGUUCAACGCAACAAAGAGGGACUCGAGGAGGUUAUUUCCAGGCUCAAUGAGGCCUUGGAGAAGAAGAAGAAGGAAAUUUCUGACUUGGAGGCCAAAUACAAGAUCAGGAUUAGAAAGCCUGAUGGUGAGGCUAAGGAGGAAGACACUGGGCGAAAAGAGGGUGCAGCCCAAGGAGUGUUAGUAGGCCCUGCAGGUGAAAGUUAAACUCUCAACCCAAUGGUGAACUUUUAUUAUAUUCUUGUAGUGCUGAACUUUUAGUUUCAUCUGAUGGUUCACUCUUAUAAGCGUGUUUGUGUUGAAAUUUUGUUUUGACAACUUUCAGUUCAAUAGGAAGAUUCCAGGACUUGUAUGGUAUAUAGAUGAUUUUG